AGCCCGGAAAUUCCCGGGGGGAGGUGAGUUAAUCAGAUCCCUUCCCUCUUCCUCCCACAUACGGAUACAAAUUCUCUCAAGUUUUGCCCCUUUUCUCUCUCAGUAUCAUACGUGGCUAUAAAAUCCAGGGUGAUUCCCCCCAAAUGAUCAGCUCUCUAGUCUCCCCCGAUUUCCCCCUGUUCUCUCCAUGCUUCUCAAAUGUCAAUUUUAAAUCUUCUCAGCUGUGGGGGGCUACCCCACCCAUUUUACCUUCAGCGAUUUGUCCUUAUUUAGGUGGGAAAUUAUUCCCCAAAGCAUGGCUGCCCCUGGAAUGGGGAUGGGAUGAGAUACAGGGAAGGGAGGAGCAAGUGUCCCCCAUGGGGACUGCCCAGACCUCGGUUUCCCAAUCCCACUUGCUGCCCCCAAACUAUCAACACAGUUGCCCACGGCCAUCAGUUGCCAGUCACCUGCCCAUCCCCCACUGUUGCCCCCUUCCCUCACCCAGGGAGCCUUCUGGCUCCCCCUCCCUUGCCCUCUUAAAUCAGCUCCUCAAAGGGCUCCCUGCUGCCCAUGUGAAUGGUGGCAGUGGGGGGAACCAUCACUUUCUGUAUAUGUUUUGGAGAGUCAUAUAAAAUCCAGUCAAGCAAUCCCCUCAGAUAUCAUAAUAAUAUCUAAUAAUAACAGCAAUAUAAAAUCCCCUCAGAUCUUGGUGCUUCUCUCUCAUGUUAUCAAUUGCGUAGUUUGGGACACGUUUUCUCUGCAAAUCUCAAAGAUUGAUAUAAAAUACCCUAAACCAGGGGUCAACCCACUGCCGCUCUGGAGUUCCAUCCACUGGCCCCUGCCAGGCGGGGUCCCGGCCACUGGCCCGCUCAGCCCGCUGCUGGUCUGGGGUUCCGUCCAUCCUGGAGGUUGCAGGGGGUUAAAUUGCCCAGUGAUCAUCUUGCCCCUCUCCUUUGAGAAUCAUUUGUUCCCCCCUUUAUCUCUGUUAAAAUGUUUGCCGAUGAAAGAGAACAUCCACAUCUUUAAUACACAUCAAAGCCAGAGGCCUCCCCCUGUUUGGGGGAUCAGUGGUUCCCAGCUGGUUACAGGAGAGUUGGCUGGACCCUUUUCUUUUCUCCAACUGGCACAGGAUGAGGAUGUCGCUCUGAGUGCAGCGUGGGUCCAGAAGUAUCCCAAACCCCAUGACAAAUGGUCUCUGUGCAGGGUUGCUUCUCACAGUGCUAAGAUGUAGCCACGUCUGGGGUGGAUCCAUGGUGGCCAUUAUUUGCUAGGGACAAGGCAUGGAAAUUUCUUACCUAUUUUGCCCCUCCAGGCCUUCCAUUCCCCUGUUAAAGAAGCAUCCCGCAGGGCUCCCUCUGCCUAUGUGACUGGCCAGCAGGGGGUGGUGAUAACUUUCUAUCCACUCAUCAGACACUGUGAGGUAACAUUGUUGCUGGGGGGGAGGUAGUGUCUGUGUGAGGAGAUUGCAACUGGAGCUGAAGGGGCAUUGUGGUAGAGGGAGGCCUCUGGGUGGCUGGGCAGGGGGUACUCUAGUUAGGUUGAUGGGUUCUGGAGGUUUAGGAUUUCGGGGGUAGUUCCGAUGUGCUAGCGCCCUAGGGCAGCCCUGGACCCUGUUAAUACUAAAUUCUGAGACUCCAGGUAACUGAAAGAGACCUCAGGGAAAGUGUUGGGAUCUGGCAUUAUAGUGACUGCACAAACAGCCCCCCCUCAUUUCUCCUCCCAUUAGCAAUUGACAGAUCCAGCCAUGGGAGAGCAAAGAACCCAGGAAUGGGACUGUCCCAGCCCGAUGUUAUACUUAGAAAAUAAAAACCAGCAGGAUCUUAUUUAGGGGAUAAGGCAAUACGCCCCGUUUAUUGUGAAUACAGAAAGAAUUAAAGUAAGCAAUCAGUUAUAGCUGUAACAGUUCAUUCUCUCACACAUUCAUUCACUCUUGCACACAGAGUUCUGCAAGGUUGUUAUAGUUACCAUCUUGGAGGUUGCUCAUGCCAAGUCACUGGCCAGGUGGCCAAGACACGAGGAGGGAGCAGAGCCUUGUCAGAUGCGCAUCUGAUGUUCCUGGAGACAGGCUGCAGAAUGACGUCCAUGUUUCGCUCCAGCUCAUCCCGUCCUCCCAUGGGACAUGGGAGAGAAAUGGUUGCAGAGGAGCCCGUUCAGGGGCUGGUGACCUUCGAGGAGGUGGCUGUGUAUUUCACGAACCAAGAGUGGGCUCUGC